UUACGUUGUUAUCCCUAAGGUAAUUUAAUCUUAUAAUCAAAAUAAAUGGAUCAAAAAUAUAUACAUAAAUAUAUAAAAACAAAGAGGAGUUAAAUAAUAUUCCUCCCAUCACCCCAACAAAACAAUUCACUCCCACUCAAUGUAAAUAAAUACAAACAACGAAUAAAUAGGAAAAUUGUCAAACUCUAUAGGGUCUUCUCGUCCCAUAAAAACAUUUAAGAAUUUUAACUCAAAAACCAAAUUCAAUAAACCAAUACCUCUAAGACAGCCUAUGUCUCGUCAAGCCAUUCAUACCAGAUCACAAUUAAAGAACUAAUGAUUAUGCUACCUUUGCACGGUCAAAAUACCGCGGCCCUUCAACUCUAAGUCAGUGGGCAGGCCAUACUUCAAAAACUAACAAGAAAAGAUGUUUUUGAUAAACAGGCG
rnacentral:rRNA from 1 species